rnacentral:rRNA from 1 species
GACGAACGCUGGCGGCGUGCUUAACACAUGCAAGUCGAACGGAAAGGCCCUGCUUUUGUGGGGUGCUCGAGUGGCGAACGGGUGAGUAACACGUGAGUAACCUGCCCUUGACUUUGGGAUAACUUCAGGAGACUGGGGCUAAUACCGGAUAGGAGCUCCUGCUGCAUGGUGGGGGUUGGAAAGUUUCGGCGGUUGGGGAUGGACUCGCGGCUUAUCAGCUUGUUGGUGGGGUAGUGGCUUACCAAGGCUUUGACGGGUAGCCGGCCUGAAAGGGUGACCGGCCACAUUGGGACUGAGAUACGGCCCAGACUCCUACGGGAGGCAGCAGUGGGGAAUAUUGCACAAUGGGCGGAAGCCUGAUGCAGCAACGCCGCGUGCGGGAUGACGGCCUUCGGGUUGUAAACCGCUUUCGCCUGUGACGAAGCGUGAGUGACGGUAAUGGGUAAAGAAGCACCGGCUAACUACGUG